rnacentral:lncRNA from 1 species
GCUUAUGUCCCCAGCCUUGGUCUGUCUGUCUGCCUGAGCUUAUGUCUCCAGCCUUGGUCUGUCUGUCUGUCUGUCUGUCUGUCGUCUGUCGGAGCUUAUUCUCCCAGCCUUGGUCUGUCUGUCUGUCUGUCUGUCUGUCGUCUGUCUGUCUGUCUGUCUGUCUGUCUGUCUGUCUGAGCUAUGUCCCCAGCCUUGGUCGGUCUGUCUGUCUGAGCUUAUGUCCCCAGCCUUGGUCUGUCUGUCUGUCUGUCUGUCUGUCUGUCUGUCUGUCUGAGCUUAUGUCCCCAGCCUUGGUCUGUCGGUCUGUCUGAGCUUAUUCCCCAGCCUUGGUCUGUCUGUCGUCUGUCUGAGCUUAUGUCCCCAGCCUUGGUCUGUCUGUCUGUCGGUCUGUCUGUCUGUCUGUCUGUCUGAGCUUAUGUCCCCAGCCUGUGGUCUGUCUGUCUGUCUGUCUGUCUGAGCUUAGUCCCCAGCCUUGGUCGGUCUGUCUCUGUCGGUCUGUCUGUCUGUCUGUCUGUCUGUCUGCUGUCUGUCUGUCUGUCUGUCUGUCUGUUUGAGCUUAUAUCCCCAGCCUUGGUCUGUCUGUCUGUCUGUCCGUCCGUCCUUUCCUUCCGUCGUCCGUCCGUCCGUCCGUCCAGGGCAAAUAACAAAGAUGAACAGAGCUUAUGUCCCCAGCCUUGGUGUAUUUACAUGAAUGUUUAAGAGGAGGGGGGACCAUGACUAAUGGUAGGAGUGGCUGUGAAGAGGUGGUGUGUGAAUGCAAGUGUGGGGGGGUGUCAGAAUGUGGUCCAGUGGCUGCCUGUAGGACCCAGAGUUGGCAAGGCAGCUGCUGAGGCACCAUCUGGUCCAGCUAGCUGGCAGGGCAGACGCCAGGCAGGGCGCUGACAGAGAAGUGAGAUUUGGCACUUUAUUCAAAUUCUGUUCUUUUUUUGAAGGAGGAGAGGAAGGAGGAGGCCGGGCGGUGGGGUGUGUUUCCUGUUGAAACACAGAGACAGGGUGGGUUGUGAGGGGAGGAGUGGGGGAUUAUAGGGCUCAGUCACUGCAAACACACAUCUGGGAAGGCAGGCAGGAUUUGAGGGCUGGUGUGUGUGUGGUCCAUGUGAAGUUGUGUUGUCCUUUGCUGAAGUGGCAGUGUUACGGGGUCAGCACGCUUCAGUUCAGCUGGCAGCUAGCCAAAGUGACUAGGCGAACCGAACGAGUGUGCCCGCAUACUCCCUUAAAAUGCAUUCGCUUGAAAAAUGAGAAAAAGCAGAAAUAGUGCUGUUUGUCCGCUUCGAGACAAUGGAGCAGUAUGCAUUCCUCAAAAUAGCCAGAAUGAAUCUAAGAUAACUCAAGACAUCUGUCAUUAAUUUUGACCUUUUGCAGAAGAGCUUAGUCACACAAUUUGACAUCUAAUGUUUGGUGAAGUAUUACCCCCCCCCCCCCCCCCUCCAAGAAAAUACAUCAGAACGAGUUGCCUGUCUUGUUGAACGACAGCAAAGUCUUCAUGGAAGAAUCCCUACUGUUAACAAUCACCGAACGAAGGGGUGUAGACUUCGGCUACCGACUUUGGCUUGCCUCUAGAAAAGUUUUGUGUGCCCGAACAACAGGAAAAAACCUCACCGAAGGUGAUAAUAUAUGCACAACACCUUCCGAACGGUCUCGGCUGGAAGCAGCGGUCGCCUUUAAAAUGGCUCAAACCGAGCUCUCUUGUAAACAGCUAACCAUCCAAACUGAGCCUCU